rnacentral:rRNA from 1 species
GACGAACGCUGGCGGCGUGCUUAACACAUGUAAGUCGAACGGUAAGGCCCCAGCUUGCUGGGGUACACGAGUGGCGAACGGGUGAGUAACACGUGGGUGACCUGCCCCGCACUUCGGGAUAAGCCUGGGAAACUGGGUCUAAUACCGGAUAGGACCGCACCGUGAGGGUGUGGUGGAAAGUUUUUCGGUGUGGGAUGGGCCCGCGGCCUAUCAGCUUGUUGGUGGGGUAAUGGCCUACCAAGGCGGCGACGGGUAGCCGGCCUGAGAGGGUGGACGGCCACAUUGGGACUGAGACACGGCCCAGACUCCUACGGGAGGCAGCAGUGGGGAAUAUUGCACAAUGGGCGGAAGCCUGAUGCAGCGACGCCGCGUGGGGGAUGACGGCCUUCGGGUUGUAAACUCCUUUCACCAUCGACGAAGGUUUUCUGACGGUAGAUGGAGAAGAAGCACCGGCUAACUACGUG